ACUCAUUUCGGGAUAUCUGCACAAACACUUGAAAGAUACUUACAUUUCUUUCGGCGUUACAGCCAUCCUAGCUCGCACCAUGUCCAGAGGAUAGGUCAGC